UUUUGUUUACCCGGUAUGACUGUAAUACAAGGUUUUGUUUACCCGGUAUGACUGUAAUACAAGGUUUUGUUUACCCGGUAUGACUGUGACUGUAAUACAAGGUUUUGUUUACCCGGUAUGACUGUGACUGUAAUACAAGGUUUUGUUUACCCGGUAUGACUGUAAUACAAGGUUUUGUUUACCCGGUAUGACUGUGACUGUAAUCCAAGGUUUUGUUUACCCGGUAUGACUGUAAUACAAGGUUUUGUUUACCCGGUAUGACUGUAAUACAAGGUUUUGUUUACCCGGUAUGACUGUGACUGUAAUCCAAGGUUUUGUUUACCUGGUAUGACUGUGAGAGGACUAAUAUAUGCUAUUUUCAUAGGGAUAUACUGAUAAGAAAUUCUACCUAAAUUACUGGUACAUGUGCAUCAUUUGAUGAUUUUCAAGGCAUCAAUAUAUUUUGACAAUGCUACGGCUUUCUGUUUUGUUAUACGGUAUUUGAUUUUUGUUCAUCCUGUUUUUGUUAUUGUAAAAAAAAAAGUCUUUGAAUUCUAAUAUUUGUGACCUUUUAACCUCUAAUAUAGCUGGUAACAGAUACAGCUUGUCAAUCAUAAUAAAUCAACAUUACUAUCGAGACAGAUAUUAGAAGGUUAAAUGUGUGUUUUUACGCCUUUGAAUUGUUUUAUAGUUGGUUUUCAUGGCAGUGCUGAAAACAGGUAUUUUAGUCAGGUUGUUGAUUUUUAAGUAUUUCCCGGUAUUUCAGUGUUAAUAAGUUGUUAUACAGUAUGAAUGACUGAUAGCUUGCUGUGAUAUAUAUUUAUCCUACAGUAAGUCUUAGUGGUUGACACCUAAACUUUGACUUAUUGUAGGAGAUGGCCUGAUUGCAACACAAGGGAAAAGCAUUUGUUAGACAGGCAUGUUGCUGGGCUGUUUCUGAUGUGCAUGCAGAAAGUCACACGAAAUGUGAAUGUGAAACCUCUGUUGGGGUGCGUGGGGCAUGGCUCCCCUCCUUGUAUUCUCUUUGUAAUUUUCUGUCAUGGUGUCUCCUUGACACCCAUUCUCUUAUGACCCUAGCUGUUGGGUGUCUCCUUGACACCCAUUCUUUUAUGACCCUAGCUGUUGGGUGUCUCCUUGACACCCAUUCUCUUAUGACCCUAGCUGUUGGUGUCUCCUUGACACCCAUUCUCUUAUGACCCUAGCUGUUGGUGUCUCAUUGACACCCAUUUUCAUGACACUGACUGUUGGUGUCUCUUAUCUGUUGGUGUCUCCUUGACACCCAUUCUCUUAUGGCCCUAGCUGUUGGUGUCUCCUUGACACCCAUUUUCAUAUGACAUUAACUGUUCUGUGGACAUUAAACCCAGUUUGAGAACUUUUUAUAUUAAGUUCUGCAAAAAUUCUAAGGGUUUAUUUUAGUGAAUAUGAAUUUUGUAUUCUUACUUCUUAUAAAGCCUUGGAUAGAGAGUUACUGAAUUGUUUCCCUUUAUCUACAGUAGGUCAAGCUAGAGAACUACAAGACUAGGGUGUAGUAACUUAAAAUAAUGGAUCUUUCUUUCUUUCCGCUGAUCAGAUUGCAACAUUUGCAAUAAAUAAUAAUGAUCAUGCGUAACCAAAUAGGAUGGCAAAAAGAGCUUUAGCUAAGUUCUGUUGAUGGAAGAUGAAUUUAAUUUGUUACAGCUACCUCUAUAUUUUUUCAUUUGAAGAAAAACGAUAUCAUUUGGUCAUUUUAUUUUAUUGAGGUAUUUGUUUGUGACCCCAUAAUCCUUUUGUUUACUAUCAUGUACAAGUGUUACCUUGUAAUUAGUAUGUACAUGUAUUGUUAAGCAUAAAAUAUAAUCCAAUACUAGUGACUUACUAAACUUUUCCCCAAUUUGCUGCAUGAUGAACUUGUGCGAGAGGAGUUUUAUAAAAGUUAAAAACAUUGAGUGUGUUAAGUGAGAGAAUUCUCAAGAAUGGAAGAUUUAUCCGUGUGUUGAACACGUGCGACCGCUUUGGUGUAUAGAGUGGAAUUUGAAUUAUGUAAGCUGUUAGUAUGGUUCACGUGUGUAGUUCUAAAAGAUUCAACUGUAAGUACUGUAAACGUGGUUAUUUUUUCGGGGGAGGGGGGGGGGGGUAAUUUCGCGAUAUCGAUAUGGAAACUAUAUGCGUUGGGGUAAUUUUCGCGAUCGAUCCACCUUCGUUUGUAGUUCGAAAUUAUGCAAAUUGAUAUCAAAAUAAUAUGCAUGGGAGAAAUUUUCGCGAUCAAAAGGACUCCGUGUAAUUAUCGUAAAUUCCCCCCUUGCGUAAAUUUCCACGUUUACAGUAUGAUAUCUACCGGUGUUCAAUUAUUUCCAGAUACUAAUAUUUACCUUUCAAAGUUAUGGAAGAAAUCUUUUAAAACAGAAUCUGUGAAGAUAUUUGAUAAAUCACUACAUCCAUACCUCUUUAUGAGGAGUUUAAGUAUUUUUACUAUAUUUCUAUGUGAAAAUAUAUCUCCAUAGAUACAAAUCUACAGGUUUUACUGUAAUGUAUAGGGGAACUAAGUGCUUGUUGUUCACAGAAAUAGGUAACAUAUAAGUUACCAGGGUAGGUAAAACUUUAUGUUGGACAUGUACUGAUUCAGCUUCUCUGAGGUGCAUGUUUCAUUAUGAUGCUGUUAUUUGCGAACUACUUUGUCUCAAACCUGUUUUGAGAAAAAAACAUUUUGAAGAAAACUUAAUAUUUUGCUUGGUACCACAGAGCUUUGCAAUCAUUGAUUGUACUUUUUAUGCCAAGCCUUUUUAAGUGUUAGAAAUGUGUAGAUUUUAAAAUGUCACACUCGGUCUAUUGUACAGCAAUAUUUGAACAGAUGUGAUGCUUUAGUGAAAUAAAUCUCAUUGUUAUUAUAA